AUGGCGGCAAUGAAGCAGCAGGCUCCGGAGAGCGUGCAGGGGAGGAAGGAGUUCCUGGUGGAGGUGCUGAUGCUGACGGUGCUCAGCCAGCCUAACUUCGUCAGCCUGGUCGGCUUCUGUGCGCAGGGGGACAAGCGCCUGCUAUUGUACGAGUACAUGCCCUUCGGCAACCUAGAGAGCCAUCUCUUUGGAAUACUUCAUCUCAACUUGCUCUCUGUUUGGUCCAGUUCAUCUCUGCAAUGCAGAUACAGGCUUUCAAAGGUGGGGCAUGGGCUCAGAGGAAAUGAGUUGUUUGCUUCUGCUUCUGUGAUCAUGGGUUAG
rnacentral:rRNA from 1 species